AGCGAACGCUGGCGGCAGGCUUAACACAUGCAAGUCGAGCGGGCGUAGCAAUACGUCAGCGGCAGACGGGUGAGUAACGCGUGGGAACAUACCUUUUGGUUCGGAACAACACAGGGAAACUUGUGCUAAUACCGGAUAAGCCCUUACGGGGAAAGAUUUAUCGCCGAAAGAUUGGCCCGCGUCUGAUUAGCUAGUUGGUGAGGUAACGGCUCACCAAGGCGACGAUCAGUAGCNGGUCUGAGAGGAUGAUCAGCCACAUUGGGACUGAGACACGGCCCAAACUCCUACGGGAGGCAGCAGUGGGGAAUAUUGGACAAUGGGCGCAAGCCUGAUCCAGCCAUGCCGCGUGAGUGAUGAAGGCCCUAGGGUUGUAAAGC
rnacentral:rRNA from 1 species